AUACAUAUCUGUGGCUGUAUCACUGAUUAUACUGUGACUUCUGUGACAAUCUUGAGUCCAUGAUAAAAUAGAUACUAGAUAGGUAUCAUCACUAUCGUCCAUACUCUAUGCUAUCAUCACAGUUGUAUUAGUUUUUUUUAGUUUGCGGCACCGAUGUAUUCGAUUAAUCGAUGUAUCGUUGCCAUCCCUAAUUAUUCUUAUUCUAUGGGCAUCUCCUUCACCUCCGGCUAAUGUCGUAAUUCUCCAUUUCUUAAAAGCCUAUCAUUAAAGAUAAAAAAAAUAACAAAUAGCAGUCCAAUGCUCAUGUAAAAAAAUGUUUUGGACAAUUGGACAUAGACCAAAGCGACAUGCAUCAAAUAUAUUUUCAGUUGACAAUGAAAUACAUGGUGCGACGUAUAUAUAUAGUAGUAUAUAGUAUUUGAUGACGUCUAUGACUCAAACUCACUGUCAGAUUAUACAAAUAUUGUAAGCAACUACCUAUUUUGAUAAUAUCAAAGACUCAAGAGUUCAAGACUCAAACAAGUAACAACUCAAACUCAAUAGUCAAUAGUCAAAAGUCAAUAAUACUAGUAUAUUAUACUCAAUACCAAGAAAAUGGAUAUAUUUAAUUGUGCUCAAUACUGAACUUUAAUGAUUCAUGGUCUACAAUCUACAUAACUGCACUCUACAAUAUUUAAAUACUUAAAUACUUAAUGGUAAAUAUUCUAGUCAAUACCAUAUUACCAUGGGUAAACAAUUUAUUAAUUGAAUAACUUAUGGUCAAUUAGUAUAAAAAAAAUACUUGUCAAUUGUCACUCAAUAGUGAGAUUAAUCUAUAUUCAAUAAUAAUUUACAUAAAACUUACAAACGCAUGGAGUUUAUAAGUAUAUUAUAACGGCUUGUGAUGCUAUUGGACUUUUUUGACUUGUAGAAUUUAUAUUUGUUAAACGUAAAUAUAAAAACAAUACAAACGUCAGGUUUUAAAUGACGCUGUUUGGA